AACGCACCUUGCGCUCCUUGGUAUUCCGAGGAGCAUGCCCGUUUGAGUGUCUUGAUAUCAUCAAACGCCCCUGCCUUUUCUGGUGGGUCGGCGAUUUGGACUUGGACGUGCUGCUGGGCGCUCUGCGCUCGGCUCGUCUUGAAUGCAUUAGCUGGAUCUCCCUCCGGCCUCGGACCUUAUGGCGUGAUAAGAUCACCCGUCGAGCAGUCCUUGGUCAACGUUGGGUUCCGCUUCCAACUGUCCCCCGCGGACAACACCGAAACCUGGUUUUCGACAUCUGACCUCAAAUCGGGUAGGACUACCCGCUGAACUUAA
rnacentral:misc_RNA from 2 species